GCAGGGGAUUGCAGUGGCAAAGCUAGGCUAGGUCUUGGAGGCUGGUGUAAGGCGAAGCGGGUGAAGGCAGGAGGCUGAUGGAGAGACUGGGGGGAAGAAAAGCCGAAAUGGAUUCACGGUGCCUUGGAUGGAGGACGAGAGGGGAACUGCAAGCUCCUUCAACUCGUUCUGUCCGGUGAGAAGUGAUCAAGCUUGGGCUGACAAGAGGCUCAGGAAGCCCUCACGUUCUUUCGCUUUUUUACCUGCCAAUCAAACUGCUACAAGACAACACCCUGAUCUGGCAUGGACAUCGCGGGUCCAAGCCUGUAGUCCCAAAUCGGAUAUCUCUGCAGCUGAUAACGAGCAAAAGAGAAGCCAGGCAACAGCCAUAUUAAAGAAGAAAACAGUCAACUCUGAGGAUGCCACCCUGAAAGUUUUAUUUUCUCCAGGAAGGUACAGUUGUCUUUGAGAGUCCUAGCCUGUGAACACAGUCUGUAAAUGUGAUCAUCAAGCAAGACGGAGCUGCCAAGAGGUUGUUAAUCUGUCAGAGAGGUGAGCAGAAAGACACUCUACUGUUGAUUAAGGAUAUGGUUCCAAAGUGUUACCUGUGCUGAGACAUCAAACUCUCUGUUAGAAAUAAUAUCUGGCAUAAAUCAAAAUUUCUCAAUUAGACAAAAUUAUUUAAAAACUUGUUAAGUUUGUUUAAUGCUCUCCAGCUUACAGAACACUUCUUAGUUCGUAAUUGU
rnacentral:lncRNA from 12 species